CAAGUCGAACGCGAAAGUUCCCUUCGGGGAGCGAGUAGAGUGGCGCACGGGUGAGUAACACGUAGGUAAUCUACCUUCGGAUGGGGAAUAACAACCGGAAACGGUUGCUGAUACCGCAUAAUGCAGCGGCACCUAAUGGUGACAGUUGUUAAAGCGGGGGAUCGCAAGACCUCGCGUCUGAAGAGGAGCCUGCGGCGGAUUAGCUAGUUGGUAGGGUAACGGCUUACCAAGGCGAUGAUCCGUAGCCGGCCUGAGAGGGCGGUCGGCCACACUGACACUGACAUACGGGUCAGACUCCUACGGGAGGCAGCAGUCGGGAAUUUUGGGCAAUGGGCGAAAGCCUGACCCAGCAACGCCGCGUGAAGGAUGAAAUCCUUCGGGAUGUAAACUUCGCAAGAACGGGAAGAAUAAGUAAGAGUUAAUAUCUCUUACGAUGACGGUACUGUUUGUAAGCUCCGGCUAACUCCGUGCCAGCAGCCGCGGUAAUACGGGGGGAGCAAGCGUUGUUCGGAUUUACUGGGCGUAAAGGGCGCGUAGGCGGCCACCGCAAGUCGAUUGUGAAAUCUCCGGGCUUAACCCGGAAAGGUCAACCGAUACUGCGGGGCUAGAGUGCAGAAGGGGCAACUGGAAUUCUCGGUGUAGCGGUGAAAUGCGUAGAUAUCGAGAGGAACACCUGCGGCGAAGGCGGGUUGCUGGGCUGACACUGACGCUGAUGUGCGAAAGCUAGGGGAGCGAACGGGAUUAGAUACCCCGGUAGUCCUAGCCUUAAACGAUGAAUGCUUGGUGUCUGGGGUUUUAUAGUCCCCGGGUGCCGUCGCUAACGCUUUAAGCAUUCCGCCU
rnacentral:rRNA from 1 species